GACGAACGCUGGCGGCGUGCUUAACACAUGCAAGUCGAACGAAGUGGCGAACGGGUGAGUAACGCGUAAUCAACCUGCCCUUCAGAGGUGGACAACAGUUGGAAACGACUGCUAAUACCGCAUACUGCGGCAGGGGAUUGCGUCGGAUUGGCUAGUUGGAGGGGUAACGGCCCCCCAAGGCGAGGAUCAGUAGCCGGUCUGGGAGGAUGGACGGCCACAGUGGGACUGAGACACGGCCCAGACUGCUACGGGAGGCAGCAGUGGGGAAUCUGCCGCAAUGGACGAAAGUCUGACGGAGCAACGCCGCGUGAGGGAUGACGGCCUUCGGGUUGUAAAGCUCUGUUAAUCGGGACGCGGUACCGGAAUAGAAAGCCACGGCUAACUACGUGCCAGCAGCCGCGGUAAUUC
rnacentral:rRNA from 1 species